GACGAACGCUGGCGGCGUGCCUAAUAAAUGCAAGUCGAGCGAAGCGGCGGAUGGGUGAGUAACGCGUGGGUAAGCUGCCCUUAAGUCUGGGAUACCAUUUGGAAACAGAUGCUAAUACCGGAUAAUAAAGGAGGGACCUGAGAUGAAUUAGCUAGGUGGUAAGGUAAAGGUUUACCAAGGAGAUGAUGAAUAGCCGCUUUUGUAGACUGAUCGGCCACAUUGGGACUGUGACACGGCCCAAACUCCUACGUGAGGCAGCAGGAGGGAAUCUUCCACAAUGGACGAAAGUCUGAUGGAGCAACGCCGCGUGAUUGAAGAAGUUUUCCGGAUCGUAAAGCUCUGUUGUUUGUGAAGCGGUAAUCAACCAGAAAUUCACUGCUAACUACGUGCCAGCAGCCGCGGUAAUAC
rnacentral:rRNA from 1 species